rnacentral:rRNA from 1 species
CGAACGGACGAGAAGCUUGCUUCUCUGAUGUUAGCGGCGGACGGGUGAGUAACACGUGGAUAACCUACCUAUAAGACUGGGAUAACUUCGGGAAACCGUAGCUAAUACCGGAUAAUAUUUUGAACCGCAUGGUUCAAAAGUGAAAGACGGUCUUGCUGUCACUUAUAGAUGGAUCCGCGCUGCAUUAGCUAGUUGGUAAGGUAACGGCUUACCAAGGCAACGAUGCAUAGCCGACCUGAGAGGGUGAUCGGCCACACUGGAACUGAGACACGGUCCAGACUCCUACGGGAGGCAGCAGUAGGGAAUCUUCCGCAAUGGGCGAAAGCCUGACGGAGCAACGCCGCGUGAGUGAUGAAGGUCUUCGGAUCGUAAAACUCUGUUAUUAGGGAAGAACAUAUGUGUAAGUAACUGUGCACAUCUUGACGGUACCUAAUCAGAAAGCCACGGCUAACUACGUGCCAGCAGCCGCGGUAAUACGUAGGUGGCAAGCGUUAUCCGGAAUUAUUGGGCGUAAAGCGCGCGCAGGCGGUUUUUUAAGUCUGAUGUGAAAGCCCACGGCUCAACCGUGGAGGGUCAUUGGAAACUGGAAAACUUGAGUGCAGAAGAGGAAAGUGGAAUUCCAUGUGUAGCGGUGAAAUGCGCAGAGAUAUGGAGGAACACCAGUGGCGAAGGCGACUUUCUGGUCUGUAACUGACGCUGAUGUGCGAAAGCGUGGGGAUCAAACAGGAUUAGAUACCCUGGUAGUCCACGCCGUAAACGAUGAGUGCUAAGUGUUAGGGGGUUUCCGCCCCUUAGUGCUGCAGCUAACGCAUUAAGCACUCCGCCUGGGG